AUAUACCAUAUAGUAUAGGUAGAUACAAUACAAAUGAAUCUGCAUGGCUGAAUCAGACUUGUAUGAAUCAAUCCCAUAUCCAAAACUACUGUAAUGACCUCACUGCCAUCCACUAUGAUUCAUCAUAAAAGUAGUCCCCCAUCAUUGUGACGCGGAAGGAUAGACCGCAGACGGAGCGUAAAGACACGCCUUGUAUUACUACGACACAGCUACAAUCUCGCAUUCGGUCCCGUGAUCACAGCGAGGGAGGUUGUAACGUUCAUUUUUCGCAGGCGUAACGAAACUUAUCAAUAAAAAAUGGGCGACAAACCAGACGUAUCGGAAGUAACAAGUUUCGACAAAACGAAGCUAAAAAAGACAGAAACAGCGGAAAAGAAUCCAUUACCUACAAAAGAAACUAUCGACCAAGAGAAACAAGCAUGAGUGAUCUCAUCGUCACGUGAUAGGGAUGGGGAAUAUACGUCCAUGUUGUCGUUGCCAGUGGAAACAGUGCUUUUCGGAAAUCUCGCGAGAUUUCUGCUAUCAUUAUACAUAUAAACAUUUUAUAAGAAUUCCAUUUGUACAUUGAAGAUGACCAAUAUCAUUAGACUGUAUUCAUACCAACUUACUAACAUUCGGCUUUCAUAUGAUUAUUUCUUUGUGUAUUACUCGAUACACCGUGAUCGAAAUCAUCUAUUUUAUUUGCAAUAAAAUUCUGAGGUCGAGCCAGGGCUUACUCGAGGCUUCUUGUAUGAAA